UGCUGGGAAAUCCAUUGUCGUCAUUUGACAUUCGCACAGCUUGUGACGCUCCGGCAACGCUUGGAGCAGAAGUGAUCUGGGUGCUGAGGCCGGUGACGAGCCGUCAUUCGUGCAGAUCAAAUGAGGGAAUAGAGGACGUGUUCGAGGCCAUGUAUCCAGACUCCGUGUUCGUACAGGCAUUUUUACAUGUGGAUCAGUCAAAACUAGGGGCCCAUUUGGGAUCGUGUUUGACGAGACACUGAACCAAACGACAAAACGCAAACAGUUUGACCUGCAUGCGUGAUAUUGGUUCAAUGGGCACGUUCGCUCAAGAUACUGCGGCUCACAGGUCAUGGGCCACGCCACUGCUUCAACAUUUGAAGGUGUGGGAUGAUAAUUCAUCACCUGACGGGAUCUGACAAGAACGGGACCUCACUGCUUGUGUCUAUAGCAACUGGAAUGUUUUAGCAAGUUACUUUAUGGUUACGCUGAGUAAAGCUCACACACGCACAA